GAUGAACGCUGGCGGCGUGCCUAAUACAUGCAAGUCGAACGCUGGAGAUCUAGCUUGCUAGAUCGAAGGAGUGGCGAACGGGUGAGUAAUACAUAAGCAACCUACCCACGAAGACGGGGAUAAUCUCUGGAAACGGGGACUAAUACCGGAUAGGUAAUCGGAAGGCAUCUUCUGGUUAUUAAAGGUUAAAAACACUGGUGGAUGGGCUUAUGGCGCAUUAGUUAGUUGGUGAGGUAACGGCCCACCAAGACGAUGAUGCGUAGCCGGCCUGAGAGGGUGAACGGCCACAUUGGGACUGAGACACGGCCCAGACUCCUACGGGAGGCAGCAGUAGGGAAUUUUCGGCAAUGGGGGCAACCCUGACCGAGCAACGCCGCGUGAGUGAAGACGGCCUUCGGGUUGUAAAGCUCUGUUGUAAGGGAAGAACGGUAGAUAGAGAAUAUCUAAGUGACGGUACCUUACCAGAAAGCCACGGCUAACUACGUG
rnacentral:rRNA from 1 species